AUGUCAGGAUCUUACCUGAUGGGGAGUCUGGCUCGCAGAGUUAUACGCUCACCCUUGCAAAGUAGACACAGACCAGGGUGACCAGGUAAGACGCCACCUGAUCUGUGAGUCUGUGCACGGGGGCUUUCCAGGAAUAGUGCUCCAAGUAGCAGUACAGCAGGGAUUAGCAGAAGCGUAGUCAAGGAAAGCCAAAGUCAGGGGAAUCCAGAGAUCAGAGUAGUCCAGGAGGAAAGCCAAGGUCAGAAGCCGGAAUCAGACAGGAAAUACUGGAACGCAGAUAUAGCAAGACAGGAACCAAACAAGGGAACCAGAGUCAAUGAACUGACACUGCCCUCAGGGAGAGGCAGUGUCUUAUACCUGGC